rnacentral:lncRNA from 1 species
GGACGUCGAAGAGCCUGGUCCUUAUGCCAUCAACUUUUGUAGCUUCACACGUGGUUUAACUAUGUGCAUACAGGUGGCAUGGGUACAGCAGCUACAGUUUGGAAAGGGGACCAAAGGGGGCCAGCUCACAUCUGCCAAGUAAGAAUGAAGGGCGUUAAGGUAUCAGUUAGCUCGGUACGCUGCUGUUGCCUCGCACCGUUUAUUUUAUGCCCACC